rfam:Enterococcus sp. 8G7_MSG3316 scaffold00001, whole genome shotgun sequence.
AGCUCCUUUAAAUGUAGUCCCGUGAGGCUAAGAAGGAUUGAGUAAGCAGACGACUCCCGCGUUGGAGAUCGAACCCUUGCUAGAUGAUGACGCAUACCCAAACCAAGUGUAUAGACGAAGGUUUGGCUGUAAUCGGAAAACAUGACUCCUACCUCAAGCAGGUAGGAGUUUUUUUAU